AAAAACUGGUUCCUGUACGAUCACCGAAGUUAAGCAACGUCGAGCCUGGUCAGUACCUAGAUAGGUGACCGCUUGUGAAUACCA